CAUUUAGUAGCUUGCUACUGCUAAGAGGGUCUGUUAGGCUGUAUAGUAUUGCUACUGACGAGCAGCAUGAUCCUCUAAGUCAACCCUUGUCUUUUGCGUACCUACGUUUCCUCAGCGGGUAUAACCCGCUGGCUGGACAAAAUUAAAACCCUUGAAUAUUCAAUCAGUGUCUGAGAAACUUAAUAAUUA
rnacentral:misc_RNA from 1 species